AAGGUGGUGGAGCUGGCUAUGGUGGUGGUGGUGGGCAUGGUGGCGGAGGCGGCGGAGGUGGUGGUAGUGGAGCUGGUUAUGGUGUUGGAGGUGACCACGGUGCAGGGUAUGGAAGUGGUGGUGGAAGUGGAGAAGGUGGUGGAGCUGGUUAUGAUGCUGCUGCUGGACAUGGUGGAGGUGGUGGAAGUGGUGGUGGUGGAGGAGCUGGUUAUGGUGCUGGUGGUGAGCAUGGUGUAGGGUAUGGAAGUGGUGGUGGAAGUGGAGAAGGUGGUGGAGCUGGCUAUGGUGCUGCUGCUGGACAUGGUGGAGGUGGUGGAAGUGGUGGUGGAGGAGGAGCUGGUUAUGGUGUUGGAGGUGACCACGGUGCAGGAUAUGGAAGUGGUGGUGGAAGUGGAGAAGGUGGUGGAGCUGGCUAUGGUGCUGCUGCUGGACAUGGUGGAGGUGGUGGAGGUGGUGGAAGUGGUGGUGGUGGAGGAGCUGGUUAUGGUGCUGGUGGUGAGCAUGGUGCAGGGUAUGGAAGUGGUGGCGGAAGUGGAGAAGGUGGUGGAGCUGGCUAUGGUGCUGCUGCUGGACAUGGUGGAGGUGGUGGAAGUGGUGGUGGAGGAGGAGCUGGUUCUGGUGUUGGAGGUG
rnacentral:lncRNA from 1 species